rnacentral:miRNA from 1 species
GGUUGUAUCCAACCUAGUUCUACUAAUAGCAGACCCACUGAAAUUCAUGGACCUAAAUUAGUCAUUUCCAUUAAUUUCAGUGUGUCUACUUUGAGUAGGACUAGUAUUGGAUAUAAUC